UACGUAGGGUGCGAGCGUUAAUCGGAAUUACUGGGCGUAAAGCGUGCGCAGGCGGUUCGCUAAGACCGAUGUGAAAUCCCCGGGCUUAACCUGGGAACUGCAUUGGUGACUGGCGGGCUAGAGUAUGGCAGAGGGGGGUAGAAUUCCACGUGUAGCAGUGAAAUGCGUAGAGAUGUGGAGGAAUACCGAUGGCGAAGGCAGCCCCCCGGGCCAAUACUGACGCUCAUGCACGAAAGCGUGGGGAGCAAACAGG
rnacentral:rRNA from 1 species